AUUGAACGCUGGCGGCAUGGCUAAAACAUGCAAGUCGAGCGCGAAAGAGGAGCAAUCCUCCAGUAGAGCGGCGAAAGGGUGAGUAAUACGGUUUCUAUGUACCCCGAGGUCAGGGAUAGCCCUGGGAAACCUGGAGUAAUACCUGAUGUGGUCCUCAUGUCAAAGUGAGAAUCAAAGGCUUGCCGCCUUGGGAGCAGGGAACGUCCUAUCAGGUAGUUGGUGAGGUAAGGCUCACCAAGCCAAUGACGGGUAGCGGGUGUGAGAGCAUGGCCCGCACAUCGGGACUGAGACACUGCCCGGGACUUCUACGGAAGGCUGCAGUAACGAAUCUUCCACAAUGCGCGAAAGCGUGAUGGAGCAAUGCCGCGUGCAGG
rnacentral:rRNA from 1 species